CGUUUAUUGUGUGAAGCCAUCAAAUUUGGGAGAUUAGAUCAUCAGUGGAUGAAUGAUAGACCCCCAGAUAUCUUCUGCUGGGCUCAGAAAGACUUUUGAAAACAAACAAGACCAUUUGGAUAGGAGAAACUGCUUUCAGUGACAUGAAAGUCACUGGGGCAAGUUCACUCCUUCUGUUGAUCGACCCACACAAGAUGAUGACAAAGUGGACAUCUGGGUCACGCUGAGGGAUUCUCCCAGGCUCCACAGUCAGUGAACUCUCGUCAGAGAGUCCUGCAUGGACCCUGUGGAUCAGUAAAGCCCUGAGCAGACUGCUUCAAAUCAAAGGCUUCAGGUUUGGGCAGAU
rnacentral:lncRNA from 1 species